AGAGUUUGAUUCUGGCUCAGGAUGAACGCUGGCGGCGUGCUUAACACAUGCAAGUCGAGCGGAAAUAUUAAAAGCUUGCUUUGAAUAUUUAGCGGCGGACGGGUGAGUAACGUGUGGGUAACCUGCCAUAUACUGUGGAAUAACCAUUUGAAAGGAUGACUAAUACCGCAUGUCGUCACCGAGGGGCAUCCCUUGGUGAAAAAAGGAGUAAUCCGGUAUAUGAUGGACCCGCAUCUGAUUAGCUAGUUGGUGAGAUAAUAGCUCACCAAGGCGACGAUCAGUAGCCGACCUGAGAGGGUGAUCGGCCACAUUGGGACUGAGACACGGCCCAAACUCCUACGGGAGGCAGCAGUGGGGAAUAUUGCACAAUGGGCGAAAGCCCUGAUGCAGCAACGCCGCGUGAAGGAAGAAGGGUUUCGGCUCGUAAACUUCUAUCAAUGGGGAAGAAAUAAAUGACGGUACCCAAAUAAGAAGCCCCGGCUAACUACGUGCCAGCCGCCGC
rnacentral:rRNA from 1 species